AUGUACAGCUUAUUCCGACCACUGUGCCGUCUGUGCACACGCACCUACUCUGCCUGCCCUGCCCCAAGACCGAGAAGCACUAACAUCGGUGCCACCCGCCGCAAGCGAGAGCUGGCUAAGAUGUUGACAGAUGCCUCGAUGCAGGAGACCGCGGACAGUGUCGGUGCUAUGAUAGAUGACCCCUUGCCCUCCUCCUCCACUUGUGACACAGUGACACAAUGUAAUUUGAAGCCCCCUGGAAUGUCUCACGCUGUGCAGGUGAACCUAAAGCCCAAGAUGGUCAGUGUGGGGACUCAAAUGACUUUCAGGAUGCAAACUUCCACCCCCCUCACUAGUCCUGAACAAACUGAUGAAGAAGAGGAUCCCUCUGUCAUCAUCAGUGAUUCAUCAUGGGUGCCAGAAGACCAGAUGUCUGAUGAGGAUGAGGAGGAAUUGUGCGAAGAGGAGCCAUCUCAAACUUUUCACCCCCACCAAAAUGGCAUUGAUAAAUUCAUUGUUUGCAAAGUGGAACUCAUGGCACUGUUUGCCAUCUGCUCGGCCUGUUGUGAGAAGUGUGAUAGUAGAAUCGUGCAGCAGGGAGGAACAUUCAUUAAAAUAGAGCAGGUCUGUGCAUCAUGUGGUUACCAGUGUUUCUGGCAAAACCAGCUGAUCCUACACAGGAAUAUGGCAGCCUGCAACCUCCUUUUAAGUGGGGUCAUUCAUUUUACUGGAUGUUUGGCCUCCCAGACAUUGUGA
rnacentral:lncRNA from 1 species